CUUAUUUACAAGUUUGCCACUCAAAUGAAUAAAGGUAAAAAUAUGACUUUAUAGCCUAAAAUUCAUAAGGGUUUGUUUUGGAGAAAAUUGGAGAGAACAUGUCUCUCCAUUUCUCUCUAAAGAGGCCAGCCACCUUGGGGGGUGCAUCUUGCAAUCCCACUACUCCAAGGUCACUCAUUUCUUCUCCAAUCUCUCCUUGGUGAAGAGACUUAGAGGUUCCCUAUUUUGGGAACUUGGAGAAACAUAUUCAUCUAUCCAAAUCCAUAGAUUUAAGAUGCAAGGAAUGAAGGCCCUCUCUUUGAGUGAUUAGCCUUUGCUUAUGCAAAGAGGAAUCUACAAAGGUAUAUUUCUCAAC
rnacentral:lncRNA from 1 species